CCGCUCGUGGCCCAACUGGACAGGGCUCCGGCCUACGAAGCCGGCGGUUGCAGGUUCGAAUCCUGCCGAGCGGA
rnacentral:tRNA from 1 species